UGGUGGUGAUGGUCACCAUGAUGUUCAUGGUGCUGAUGAUGCUUGCCAUGGUGGUGGUCAUCAUCAUCGUCGUCGUCAUCAUCAUCGUGGUGGGAA